rnacentral:tRNA from 1 species
UGAUGGAUAGCUCAGUCAGUAGAGCAUGAGCCUCUUGAUCUCAGGGUCGUGGGUUCAAGCCCCAUGCUUGGCAA